rnacentral:lncRNA from 1 species
GAGAGCCCAACUAGACAAAUGUCGGAUAGGCAAAGAUAUUUAAUACAAUUAGGAAUUAUUGAAGCCAUGACGUACAGAUGACCCUGCAAACAAGAGAUAAGAAAAAAAUAUUGAAGAUUAGGAAUACUCAAACACCACAUGAUGGUACGACUAUGAAAGUGCAUUACAAUCCAAGAAGAGACGCUCAUGAGCAAGGAAAAACUAGAAAUAAUUGGAACAAUCAUGUUCCCCUGCUGCCACAAAAGGUCUUGCAUACUGAUUCUUAAAUUCUUCCUCAAAUCUACUAGAGUAGAGAGCAAGAUCAUGGAAAGAAGUUAAAUUCUUCCUCAAUUCAUAACUCUAGAAAGAAAUGAGAUAUACUGAUUCUUAUAUCUAUGUAUGUAUCUGUCAUUUCAUAAUACACCAAUUUUUUUUGGCUAUAAUUCCUUUUUGGUGUAUUGUUAGAAAUCUACUAAGCAUUUCACAUGUAUAGUGAUUAACAACAGCAUAUAUUUGUGCAUCAGUUCCCAUAAGGCAAUAGGCAAUGAAAACGAACGUACAGACUGACAACUUUGACCUGAUCAAUUAUUUUGUUUCUUGACUAGUUAAUGGGGUAAAGAAAGAAGAUUAUAUCUCAAUCUUUAACAAUAAAAGCAGAGGACUUCAAUAAAGGUAGAAAUAUUGUCUUUAUGUCCUACUAUUUUUUCCUCUGCUAUAUUUACGUCACAACAUACAUGUUCUUUCCUCAAUUUUAUUGGACCAUGUUUUAUGUAUCAAAAUUAGAAUUUAAGAAAACAACCAAAGAAAGAAUCAUACAAGAGGAUUUACCAAAAGAAAAAAUAGUUCAUAUGCACUCAUGUAUGGUAAAAGAGAUUACCUUUUUCAUGUAAUCCCAUAAUUCAUCAUAUGUAAAUAGUACAAAUUUAGCAAAGUGACUAUGUAACCAAGUCUACCCUGAACUGAAUCCUAGCAAAGUGAAAAAAAGAUAGCUUUAACUUUCAAGAAACUAUAAAGAUGUAUUACUCUAUCAUUUACUUAGUUGAGUUCUCCAAUUCAAAACUACCAAAGCAAAUUUGCUACAGAAAAUCCACAACUAUGAUUUUACAAAUAACCAAAAGCAAUGAUACUGAAAUAUCUCCUGUAUUCAGCAUAUCACUUGUAUAAAAUGUAUUUGCCCUGCAUAAAGAGGUCACUCAAGAAGGACUUGGAAGCAAAUCGAAGAAUAGCUACAAUUCGUAUCUUUGGGUCAUUAAUAUUGCUUAGCUAAGCAUAAGUAGCACAUGAAGAUAUUUCAGGCAAACAUGUGUAACUGAGAUACUCUACUUUCUAAGAAGAAAAUGUAGAGAAUACCAGAAGAAAAGUAUAACUAGAGAGCCUUCUGCUAGCCCAAGAUCGUUAAUUAAGAUCGGAAGAUUCAACUAAAGAGGAGGAAGCUAGAAAGGAGAAUAUGUAUUUUGGAUAAGAGAAGUUUAUCAUAGAAGAACACUCUUAGAUUUGAG